rnacentral:rRNA from 1 species
GAUGAACGCUGGCGGCGUGCCUAAUACAUGCAAGUCGAACGAAUCUCUUUUAGAGAUGAGUGGCGAACGGGUGAGUAAUACAUAGGUAACCUGCCCCUGUGCGGGGGAUAACAGGAGGAAACUCCUGCUAAUACCGCAUAGCCAUGAGCACCGCAUGGAGCUCAUGCCAAAUAUCCUUUCGGGGAUAGCGCAGGGAUGGACCUAUGGCGCAUUAGCUAGUUGGCGGGGCAACGGCCCACCAAGGCAACGAUGCGUAGCCGGCCUGAGAGGGCGGACGGCCACAUUGGGACUGAGACACGGCCCAGACUCCUACGGGAGGCAGCAGUAGGGAAUUUUGGGCAAUGGGCGCAAGCCUGACCCAGCAACGCCGCGUGAAGGAAGAAGGCUUUCGGGUUGUAAACUUCUUUUGUCAGGGACGAGUAGAAGACGGUACCUGACGAAUAAGCCACGGCUAACUACGUGCCAGCAGCCGCGGU